AUAUUUAAAACGAUGAAUCUGCUAAUUGCCUUUAUUUGAUCAUUAUAGAAUGUAUACAUGCAUUGAAACAUCACACUGUACUCCAUAAAUAUGUACAAUUAUGUCAUUGCAAAUACAAUUAAAAAAAAGCAAAUUUAAAAUAAAAUAAUUCCCAUAGCUUCUAUCUCAAUUUACAAGAAGUUAAAACAGCAAAUUUAAUAUAAAUAAUUAAAAGAAAGGAAAUAAUUAAGAUUAACAAUCAACCAGGUAGAAAACCAACUAUAAUAGGGAAUAAAAAGCCUAAAGUUGACCCCUUUCUAGCAGCAUGAUCAAGGAGGCAGAAAACAAAACAUAACAAUAUAAAUUGGCAAUUAAAAAAUAUGAAAAUGGAAAAUUAUUGCAUUUCCUAUAUUUCAAUGCAUUGAACCAUAAUUAGAAGGCACAACUUCAUUCUGAUAUAUGUGAUAUAUAAAACUGGCAAAUUCCUCAAAAGACAUAAUUUGCCAAAAAAACCUACAAGAAUAAAUUUUCAAAUGUAAAUAUUUCCUUUUCUACUAAUGAUAUUAAGUAUGUUUUAGAACUUUCUGACAAAUACCCCUGGGUACAGAUGGCUUCACUGGCAAAUUAUUUCCAGCAUUUAAAGAGAAAGUAACACCAACUUUAUGCAAAUAUUUCAAGAGAAAUGAAAAAAAGGAAAUCUUCCAAGUCUUUUAUAAAGCCAGUAUCACCCUUACCCAGACAUUACCAAAAAAAAUUAAAAAUAUUUAAACAUCAAAAUCUUUUACAAUCCCUGAGUGGUUUCAUUUUUUCUCCCAUGUUUAAAAGUUGUAGUACACUGGAAAAUAAGACAGUAUAAUGAAUCACAUUGCCAUGUAAUCUUUCAAUAAGAAAUUUGAUAAAAUUUACUACCCAUUCAUGAGUUGAAGUUAGUAGGAUUCUAGGAAUGUUGCUAUAUUGUUGAAGGCUUAUUAGAGCUACUUAAUUUCAGUUCAUUGCACUGCUACAGAAAAUAUGUGCUAGGUAUAUGAUAAAUGUAUUAUUAAUAUUAAAGACCAAUAAUCAUCUCAAUACAUAAUAAUGGGUAAUUUAUUUGAUAUAGAUUAAAUUUCUAUGGAGCAAUAAAUAAAAUAAUCAAAAGCACCUCUUUGUCAUUCCCCAUGAUACAUUAAAUUUUUCCAAAGCAUUGAUAAUCAGAUUAAAUGUGAAAAUCAGCAAGUUACUAUGAUGAACUAAGUUUUUUUGAAAUUACAUAUAUUAUAUUUCUUUAUGUAUUUUCUUUUAUUUUGUUAUUAUACUUAAUCUGUGAUUAAAUAUAUAAUUUGGAAUGAGUUUAAUCCUCUAUUCUUCUUACUGAAAAAUCUUUUGGAGAUGUCAACCACUUUUACCACUGUAUGCAGCUUUACCCUUUCUGCCUGGCUUCAGUGUAGCUCUGUCUCAGUGUUUUCUUUCUGUGAGUACUAUUAACAAUAUUAGGAAUGCUAUAGAAGGGAAGACAGUAAAAUAGUGUUUGUGAACUAGGUUACUCAUUGUCCCUGCCUAUUACUUUGAAAUUACCUUCAGUACUUCUCCUGUAGUUCAUUCCACUGGCAGGCUCUUCUGCCUGUUGAUAAUAAACCAUACCAGCUCCGUGUAGCACAGCUAAUGCUGCUUAUUAAACACACAUAAUUCUCUACUGUAGACAGCGUGGUCUUCGUCUAGAAUCUCAGGGGACUGUAUUGUGAUUUGUCCAGUGAAGCUUGACAGAAACCUCCCACUUUUUCCACCGCUGAUAUGUUCUAAAUAAUAGGGCCAGCCAGUGUAUAUGACUCAAGUAGCAAGUCUGCCCUAGGGCAGUUUCCUCCUCUGAGCUUCAUUCAAAGCUGUUAGCCUUCUGUGACAGCUGAUGUAGGAGCUAAAGGAGUAUUUCUCCUGUAGAAUGUGCUGUCUUCACAAUCAGAGGAGACCUAUCAGAAACUGUUCUGUGCUGUUUGUACUAGGGGAUGCAAAGUCAAUUAUAUUUUAGUUUUGAUUUAUUAAUCUGCAUUGGGCAGCUCAACUUUUACACAUGUAGUAUUGUUGCAAAUAAAAUACAUUAAUGUCAUAAAUAAGACAAAAUCAUUAUAACGCUAAUCUCAUGAUUGUGAGAUUUAAAAUUAUUCUUAAAAUUAAAUUAAUUUAUUGGAGAUAUUUUUCAAAGAUUUAAACAGAUUGUUUCCAGCAUUUUUGUCUCUAAAAGUGAGGUGAAUUAGAUGAGCCUUAUAAUUAUUACCAGAUAUUUCAGAAUAUUAAAUAUAAAACACUCUUCCUGAUUUAAGAUCAAGUGCAAUAUGAAGAGAUAACUGAAACUAGAAGACAGUGAAAACCUGGAUGAAUAAAUACAAAGCUCAUCUAAUUCACCUCACUUUUAGAGACAAAAAUGC
rnacentral:lncRNA from 10 species